rnacentral:lncRNA from 1 species
UCCUAUUUUCUAUUUCAGGCCUCUGAGCAGAACUUCCCUUUUGAAUAGGGCCCAGCAGAAAACACAAAGCUGGAAUUUUCUCUCGAAGGUGAACUAACGAAGGGAUAACAAGCUGAUUAUUUUUCUGGUGCCUUCUAAGGAAGUUUCACACAGGCCCAUGUAAUGCUGGACCAGAAUUGGGACAUUCCGUUUACCCACUGCCCUUCCAGUUAACAAAAGGUGUUUACCGAAGUGCAGAGGUUGAAUAUGUGGAAGAAGCAUAUCUUGUUUGGUAAGAACAUAGUGUGACUAGAAAC